rnacentral:rRNA from 1 species
CCUACGGGAGGCAGCAGUAAGGAAUAUUGGUCAAUGGACGGAAGUCUGAACCAGCCAUCCCGCGUGCAGGAUGACUGCCCUAUGGGUUGUAAACUGCUUUUAGCAGAGACGAAACGCCUUCAUUUAUGAGGGUCUGACGGUAUCUGCAGAAUAAGCACCGGCUAACUCCGUGCCAGCAGCCGCGGUAAU